CGGGUGGGACAUUUAGUUUGUCAGGUUUCCGGCUACUAGCAACAAGAUUCUCAGGCCUGGCCUAUCUUUUAUUUGGCUAGUUUGCACAAAGAUCUGAACCAAGGGAAGAAGCAGCCCUACUUGGAGCUGAAAGAUACCAAUAGAGACAGGGCUUCGCCGUGUUGCCCAGGCUGGUCUUGAACUCCUGGGCUCAAGUGAUCCACCUAUGUUGGCCUCCCAAGGUGUUGGGAUUACAGGUGUGAGCCACUGCGUCUGGCUGCUAAGAUUUCUUUGACCUUUGACUCUCAUUGCUAUUUGCCCCUCCCAUUAUCUGUGAUGAAAGAUAAGACUAUGGAGGGCUUCUUGGUGUCUGUGGACUCACCUUGAAGGCUUAUCCUGUAUCAUCGUGUGACUGUGCCAGUGAUGGGAGCUGCAUCUGAAAUGUGUGAGGUUGUGCCUAAACUCUGUGGCAUUGCUAUGGAAAAUAUGGUGGCUACAGAUGUGUAAACAUAGACGUUACCAGAAUUUCCAAAUGGACCAGUCAGUGUCACAUUUUGGGAUGAUACCUUCCUGUAGGAGGUCUACAGUACCACUGAGGAUGGCUUGGAGUUUGUUACUCUUCCAGUUCUUUUGAGGGAGAAG
rnacentral:lncRNA from 1 species